AAUUUGGAAUUUUUGAAUAUUCGACCAUGAUGGAAAAACCGAAACUAACUCGAGCAUUUCGUCACCGAUCCACCCGGCGGCCGAUAAGCGAACUAAACGUUAUGAUUUAAAGGGAAGAGAGAUGGACGUACGGACGGAGAAUACGACGACGUAGGGUCUCAGAUGUAACGAUAAAAUGAUGUCGAAUGUCGUCUCGAUGACUAUGGUGGAGACUCUGCGAGCGAAUGAAUCGACGAAGGAGAAAUUGCUCACAUCGAUACAAACCAACCUGAAAAAGGUGCAAAAUGUAGCAAGUGACUUACUUGUAGAUCAAAAACUUCAAACAGAUAAAAAAGAAGUGCAGCAGUUGUGUGAAAGUUUAUUCAGAGUUUUUUCUCAUGGGUAAAUAGUUUUCAGAUUUGUUUCAUUCAUUAUAAAUUUGUAUUUUGUUUUUAUUAGGUUCUGUUAUAAAUGAAUUGAUUCUAUGAAUAAAUUUAGAGUUGAAAGACAUUAAUUUAAUUUAAAAAUGUUAUAGAAUAAUACUUUAUGUAUUGAUCUAUAAUUACACACAUUUCUAAAACUUAAGGAUGGAUGAUAUUUGUACAUGAAUAGAGAGAAAUUUAGAUGAAUUCAGACAAAUAUGGCAAGAAUUGUAUUACUCAGUAUCUAAUAUAGGGUAAUAAGCAACAACUUGUAGGAUUUUACAAAUCAAAGCAAUAAAAAUAAAUCUUUGGUGACUAGAUGAAAAGUGCUUACCAAUAUCCAGGCAGAGAGACCUGCUAGUAUGAAAUAUGUCUGCCUGAAACUGAAUUGUGGCACUCAUGAUGUGACAGGCUCAUCACCAGGUCAUCACCAAGCUCAUCAUUCUAGCAAUUGUAUUUGUCCUUAAGUUUUGGAUAUAUAUAUUAUAUUUAAAAUUUUUUUGUGAAUAAGUAUAUUAAA